CUACGGCUAUAUCACAAUAAAACACCGCUUCUCGUACAAUCACCAAAGUUAAGCAACGUCGGACCUGUUCAGUAACUAGAUGAGUGACCGCUUGGGAAUACCAGGU